GAUGAACGCUGGCGGCGUGCCUAAUACAUGCAAGUCGAGCGAAUGGAUUAAGAGCUUGCUCUUAUGAAGUUAGCGGCGGACGGGUGAGUAACACGUGGGUAACCUGCCCAUGAGACUGGGAUAACUCCGGGAAACCGGGGCUAAUACCGGAUAACAUUUUGAACCGCAUGGUUCGAAAUUGACAGGCGGCUUCGGCUGUCACUUAUGGAUGGACCCGCGUCGCAUUAGCUAGUUGGUGAGGUAACGGCUCACCAAGGCAACGAUGCGUAGCCGACCUGAGAGGGUGAUCGGCCACACUGGGACUGAGACACGGCCCAGACUCCUACGGGAGGCAGCAGUAGGGAAUCUUCCGCAAUGGACGAAAGUCUGACGGAGCAACGCCGCGUGAGUGAUGAAGGCUUUCGGGUCGUAAAACUCUGUUGUUAGGGAAGAACAAGUGCUAGUUGAAUAAGCUGGCACCUUGACGGUACCUAACCAGAAAGCCACGGCUAACUACGUGCCAGCCGCCGCGGUAA
rnacentral:rRNA from 1 species